GACGAACGCUGGCGGCGCGCUUAACACAUGCAAGUCGAACGGAAAGGCCUGCUUUCCCUUGUGGAUUGCGGGUACUCGAGUGGCGAACGGGUGAGUAACACGUGAGUGAUCUGCCCCCAACUUGGGUAUAAGCCUGGGAAACUGGGUCUAAUUCCCGAUAGGACUGCAGGGUGGUGCCUGUGGUGGAAAACGAUUUUCUAGUGGUUGGGGAUGAGCUCGCGGCCUAUCAGCUUGUUGGUGGGGUAAUGGCCUACCAAGGCGGCGACGGGUAGCCGGCCUGAGAGGGUGGACGGCCACAUUGGGACUGCGAUACGGCCCCUACUCCUACGGGAGGCAGCAGUGGGGAAUAUUGCACAAUGGGCGGAAGCCUGAUGCAGCGACGCCGCGUGGGGGAUGACGGCCUUCGGGUUGUAAACUCCUUUCGACCGCGAGGAAGCCACCUGGUUGGAAGGGUGGUGACGGUAGUGGUAGAAGAAGCACCGGCUAACUACGUG
rnacentral:rRNA from 1 species